UUGUAAAGCGGUUACAGAAAAAAACCAUUUCUGCCCUUGCUAAAUGGGGCGGGAUAUAGUACAAUACCGUUAGCUCCGGCGGUGACGUUUGAGGUUACGGUCCCGCGCAACGGCAGCCCGUGAACCAUGUCAGGCGGGGAACCGAGCAGCAUUAAGCGGUAGCUCCAUGUGCCGCGGGUAAGUCGUAUCCGAGCCAUCGCCGGAGUGUUUUACAA
rnacentral:SRP_RNA from 1 species